UACGGAGGGUGCGAGCGUUGUCCGGAAUCACUGGGCGUAAAGGGCGCGUAGGCGGCGCGGGGAGUCAACGGUGAAAGCUCGGCGCUCAACGCCGAGUCGGCCGUCGAUACUCCCGUGCUUGAGCACUGUAGAGGCAGGUGGAAUUCCGGGUGUAGCGGUGGAAUGCGUAGAGAUCCGGAAGAACACCGGUGGCGAAGGCGGCCUGCUGGGCAGUAGCUGACGCUGAGGCGCGACAGCGUGGGGAGCGAACAGG
rnacentral:rRNA from 1 species